CACGUAGGGUGCGAGCGUUGUCCGGAAUUAUUGGGCGUAAAGAGCUCGUAGGCGGUGUGUCGCGUCGGCCGUGAAAACCUGCAGCUUAACUGUGGGCGUGCGGUCGAUACGGGCAUCACUGGAGUUCGGCGGGGGAGACUGGAAUUCCUGGUGUAGCGGUGAAAUGCGCAGAUAUCAGGAGGAACACCGGUGGCGAAGGCGGGUCACUGGACCGGAACUGACGCUGAGGCGCGAAAGCGUGGGGAGCAAACAGG
rnacentral:rRNA from 1 species